rnacentral:pre_miRNA from 1 species
UAAAUACUCCCUCCGUCCGAAAAUACUUGUCAUCCAAAUGGAUAAAAAGAGAUGUAUCUAAAACUAAAAUACGUCUAGAUACAUUUCCUUUUAUCCAUUUUGAUGACAAGUAUUUCCGGACGGAGGGAGUAUUUG